rnacentral:tRNA from 1 species
GGGUUUGAAACCCUAAAGUUAGGGUUUAGGGUUUGAAACCCUAAAGUUAGGGUUUAGGGUUUGAAACCCUAAAACCUA